rnacentral:rRNA from 1 species
CAUGUAGGCGGCAUGACAAGUCUGGUGUGAAAUAUCUCGGCUCAACCGAGAAAACGCACUGGAAACUGUCAAGCUUGAGUAUCGGAGGGGAAGCUAGAAUUCCUGGUGUAGGGGUGAAAUCUGUAGAUAUCAGGAAGAAUACCGGUGGCGAAGGCGAGCUUCUGGCCAGAUACUGACGCUGAGAUGCGAAAGCGUGGGGAGCAAACAGGAUUAGAUACCCUGGUAGUCC